AUUGAACGCUGGCGGAAUGCUUUACACAUGCAAGUCGAACGGCAGCACGGACUUCGGUCUGGUGGCGAGUGGCGAACGGGUGAGUAACAUAUCGGAACGUAUCCAAUAAUGGGGGAUAACUAAUCGAAAGGUUGGCUAAUACCGCAUACGCCCUACGGGGGAAAGCAGGGGAUCUUCGGACCUUGCGUUAAUGGAGCGGCUGAUAUCUGAUUAGCUAGUUGGUGAGGUAAAGGCUCACCAAGGCGACGAUCAGUAGCUGGUCUGAGAGGACGACCAGCCACACUGGAACUGAGACACGGUCCAGACUCCUACGGGAGACAGCAGUGGGGAAUUUUGGACAAUGGGCGCAAGCCUGAUCCAGCCAUUCCGCGUGAGUGAAGAAGGCCUUCGGGUUGUAAAGCUCCUUCGCAAGGGAAGAAAACUUACUUUCUAAUAAAGAGUGAGGUUGACGGUACCUUGAUAAGAAGCACCGGCUAACUACGUGCCAGCCGCCGCGGUAA
rnacentral:rRNA from 1 species